UUCACCACCGUCCACCGUGGCUUCCUCACCUCUGUGACAGCAGUGAGCUGACACAUAUGUCUUCCAGCUCCUUCCCAGUCUGACGAGGGUGAAUCUGAACACAGGAGACGGAGGAUGGAUGACAGCCUCCAGGAUCAGCGACAUCUUCAGUGAGUCCAACAGUGGCGUGAGGCUUGGCAGCUGUGCUCCUCUGACGUACUGUACAGGCAAAUAAGUGAUGCUGAACCCCGGUACCUUGCUUCCCGACCACAUCACUCUACACUCAUCCCCUUAGGUCUGAGGGGCGUCCUGCUGAUGGAGGGACCGGGACUACUGAGAGGUAGUUCCACCAAACCGUCCCUCCUACUGUCAGUGGGAUGCUCUGCAGUUUUAAUUGCAUUAGUCAUACACACUCAUCCAGGACUUUAGAGGCUGCCUCCAGUGGGGGCCAGUGGUGUCCCCCACUUUCAGUGCACUCUAGUUCCACACACUCACGUUCAAGCUGUGUUGCAGGGUUCUUGGUUGCCUUUUCCACUGUGUCCCACUACUAACCUUACUACCACUACUAGUGUGACUCAACACCUGAUCUGAUAAACAGGCUUUCUAAACCCUUUUUUAACUGUAAGUACUGUAUUAUUGGUACUUAUCACUACCAAUAUCAAUAAUGUGUGAUUAGGGUAGUUGUGAUGUUGUAUGUCAUGGCUAUAAUUAGGUAUUAUGAGAUUGUGUAUAACAAUGCAUAUGUGUAUGUAUAUCAUAUAUACAUGUUUCAUUCAUAUAUAUAUAUAUUCAUAUACUUAUAUGUGAUACAUAUAUGUAUAUAUGUUUGUAUGAGUGUGUGCACAUACCUUAACACUAUUAGUAUUAAUUUCACAGGUAAACCACAGUACAGCAGUUGUUUAGUUAUGAAUGUGUUAGCCUAAGGUUCAUCUCUACUCAUUUAUUUUGUUCCUAUUGUUUGUUUAACUCGAUUUGUUUGGUUUCAGCAGCUGGUUGCACCCCCCCAACCCCCCUCCCACACACACGCACCAACUCAACCUGUGCACCAGCACAGCGACAUAACACACAUUUAGGAUGGACAAAAUAAAUCAUUGAUCAAGAACAGUAUAUAUAUUUCUUAUAUACUCCGCUUGUUAAAGCAAAACUGUCCAUAAUAUGGCAUUCAGCCACCUUCCAUAUUAUUUAGAACAAAAAAAUAACCUAAGUGAUGUGAGGGUGCGAGACAGUCUGCGUCAGCACUGAAGCAGGUGCACGGCCAUUAGUAACCCUGACAUCAGCGAGCAUGCUGUGAUGAUAGCAAGAAUGAAGGUUAGAAAGUCAGGAAGGAACAGAACCGUCAGAACCUGAGAGACAGCUAAGCAGAACCCUGGAGCACUGACACAGCCACAGAACCAGCUCAGAUCGUACAGCUUCUGCCAGAAUUCACAGUAAAUGUGAAGGUUUUUACGCUUGUCCUUUCCUAUUAAACACUCCAAGGUCAGAGGUUGUUGCUCAACAGACUGACUUGUGUCUUAUGAUUUCGUGAUUUAAAGCUGUGGGCUGUAGAACAGCUUCAGCUCCACGUUCCCUGUCUGCCGAUCACAGCUCCCUCUGGAACGUCCAUGACGCAUGCACUUGUUUGUUUUGUUGACACAUCCAUUUUGUUGUUGGACAUGAAAAGUCAGAGUAAUUAUGACUAAUAAUGAUUUUACGCACAGCUUUAGAAAGAUGCUGUUUUUGCUGGUGUCGCAACGAUGUCAGUCCAGUUUUCUAUCAAAGGAAUGAUGAUAGUCUGUCAGACACAUCAGUGCAUUUCAGUAACUCUGCGCUCAGACUUCAGACACGCGAAAGGAACUGUUCCUUCAGCCUGUAAUUAAGGUGCCAAGGAAGCGGUGGUUCCCUCCAUGGAAAUGACUCCAGUUCCAGUAGCUGACGAGAGGGAGUCGGCUGCAGGGCGAACAGUUGUUUACUUUCACCAGCUCUACAUAAAUCGAUGGCUCCAUCAGACAAAACCGUGCCACUGUGCUGAUGCAAAGACCUGGAAGGAGGAGAAGGACCCACUGAAGACGCCACCUCUAGAGACGGAUCACUUCCUGUACAUACAGUGUACAAUACAGCUGCGGUCAGCUCCGAGGAGAGAACUGUUCAGCAUGCUCUCAGCACUCCCUGGAUGUCAUUAUGUGAAACUGCUAAUGCUUGAUAUAACGCUGAUGUUCUGCAGAAUAUGUGCGAGACCCAACAACAGAGGAUCCUUAGGGGUCAGUGUGGACUCAAGGAUAGAACCGAACAGCACAUCCUUCCGUGGGACCGACAUGGUCUUCGAGCACCUUCCUCUCCUGCUGGUACCAGCUCCAGACCAUAAAUCAUUUGGAGCUGCAUUCAUUCAAACCCACGUCUCCACAGACUCAGCAGGAGCCAGUGGCUGACGUAUGUAGGAGCCACAGGCGGGGCUCGUAAUUGUGAGAGCCUGGGACUACAGGCUCCAUAAAGCAUCUCCUGUGUAUUAUGAGACUGACCUUCUAACGUUCUGUCGCUUUGGCUGUUUGUGAUGGGCAGAGUCGGCCGCAGGUGCUUUAAUUCCGUUCCAGCAGAUAUUGUAUGUGACUGUUAACGAGAGGCAUUAGAUAAAUGAGCCCAGGCAAAUCUCGAACCUCGUGGUUUUCUGCCUCACCUUGGACACGCCCCCCCGAGGUCAUGUCAGGCUCCCUCUCUUGCUCCCUCACCAGGCCACGUCCUCAUCUCUGGACCCCACACGCCCCUUCUCUUUGCCUUAGUGAACUCACUGCAAUCAGGACAAGUCCACUUACCUGUGCCUGCUCUCUGCUCUCCCUUCAAAUACUCAGCCAGCGCUUCAGUCUGUGCUGGGUCAUUGAUGCUGCUGUAUGUGGUAAGAAGAGGUUUUGUUGGAAUGGUCCAUAUGAGUGGGAGUCUUUGUCAUGCCAUGUGUUUGCCUCGAUUAGCCAUAAAUAUAACAAUUGAACUUUAUUGAUCCUGCAUUGGGGAAAUUAAGCUGUUGUUGCUUGGGCAUUGUGGGUGGUGCGGUGGGUAGCAUCGUCGCCUCACAGCAAGAAGGUUCUGGGUUCGAUUCCCGGAAGCAGCCCUAAUGCCUUCUCUCCAUUACCCGUAGGUCUGAGUGUGUGUGUGAAUGGUUGUUUGUCUCUGUGUGUGGUGUACCCUGCCUCUCGCCCAUAGCCAGCUGGGUUAGGCUCCGGCACCCCCGUGACCCCGCAUUAGGGAAUAAGCAGCUUAGAAAAUGGAUGCAUUUUCACUUGAUCAGUUAUACUAUUCUGCUUUCACUUAUUAAAGAACAAUUCUGAUAAUGACACAUCACCUGGUUUCUAAUAACAAUUAUAUAAUAACAAAAAUCACAUACAUCACCACCAAAAUUAAACAAAUCAAAAUAAAUGAAAAACAACCUCUUGGCUCUAUCAUAUCUACUGAUGUUUGCACAUCUUGCUUUUCUUAAUGCAACCAAUAAAUGUCUCUCUUUAUUGUGCAAACAAAUUGGCAUUUAAUGGUUAAAUAAUAAAAAAUGAACUCAUAUUUUGUACUCAAUGCUAGAACCGAUACUAGUUGACAUAUUUAUGCAGUGAAAGUAACAAAAAUUUGUUGGGCAUGAACAAGCUGAAAGUUUAGUAAAAACGAACAAAGCCAGAGGCUGAAAUCUAAAACAGCCACAUAAAUAAAACAGCAUCACAUUCUACAGUAAUAAAUAAAUAUCUUUACUACUGUAGUUGCUUUUUUUGUUAUUGUCUUCAAGUAUUACUUUAUUUUUACCAUAUAUUUUUAUUAUAUAUCUCAUUUUAUUUAUUAUAAAUAUAUUAUCUUAUUAUCUUAUAAAUACAGUAAAUCCUUAUACAUAACAUAUAUUUUAUCAUUAUGAAAGAAAGUAACUGAGUGUAUGCUGUGUAUUCUUUACAUGGGCAGAAGACACCGCUAAUAACAAACCAAUAACUGUUGUUAUGAUUACUGCUACUGUUAUACAGUACUGUUUUAAUAUUGAUUUUAACUACAAUAUUAUCAAAUGCACAUGUUGAAAUGUUAACCUUCAUGGUCUGAACGGCUUUGAUGUUGCCCCGUGUCUUUUGUUUAAUCAAGCAGUGGGAAAGUCUAAAAGCAGUGAGACGUUUGCACUCCCUGCUGUUACCAUCAGCCUGUAAAAAUGCACUUAUCUUAUCUGGACUUAAAUAAAUUAAUCCAGAUCCUUAGCA